CUACGGGUGGCUCCAGUGGGGAAUAUUGCACAAUGGGCGCAAGCCUGAUGCAGCCAUGCCGCGUGUAUGAAGAAGGCCUUCGGGUUGUAAAGUACUUUCAGCGGGGAGGAAGGGAGUAAAGUUAAUACCUUUGCUCAUUGACGUUACCCGCAGAAGAAGAACCGGCUAACUCCGUGCCAGCAGCCGCGGUAAUACGGAGGGUGCAAGCGUUAAUCGGAAUUACUGGGCGUAAAGCGCACGCAGGCGGUUUGUUAAGUCAGAUGUGAAAUCCCCGGGCUCAACCUGGGAACUGCAUCUGAUACUGGCAAGCUCGAGUCUCGUAGAGGGGGGUAGAAUUCCAGGUGUAGCGGUGAAAUGCGUAGAGAUCUGGAGGAAUACCGGUGGCGAAGGCGGCCCCCUGGACGAAGACUGACGCUCAGGUGCGAAAGCGUGGGGAGCAAACAGGAUUAGAUACCCUCGUAGUC
rnacentral:rRNA from 1 species